rnacentral:rRNA from 1 species
UACGUAGGGAGCAAGCGUUGUCCGGAAUCAUUGGGCAUAAAGCGCGCGUAGGCGGCCCUGUAAGUCCGUUGUGAAAGUCAAAGGCUCAACCUUUGAAAGCCGAUGGAUACUGCAGGGCUAGAGUCCGGAAGAGGCGAGUGGAAUUCCUGGUGUAGCGGUGGAAUGCGCAGAUAUCAGGAGGAACACCAAUAGCGAAGGCAGCUCGCUGGGACGGUACUGACGCUAAGGCGCGAAAGCGUGGGGAGCGAACAGG